GUUCCAAGACCUCAUGUUGCAAAAUAGUUAUUUCACUCCUAAGAAAGGGAAACAAACAGUAAUACCAAAAAUAUAACAGUGAUUGCUGAAGUGACAUAUCUUUUCAUUCCAACAAGAAUUUUGUUGUUGUUUCAAUUUCGCAGAAUCAUCGUUCAUUAAAUCUAUUUAAAAUCCACUCAGAAAAUAACUUAUAAAAGAUAUUUGUAAAAAUAUGGUAAG